rnacentral:snRNA from 2 species
GUCCCUUCGGGGACAUCCAAUAAAAUUGGAACGAUACAGAGAAGAUUAGCAUGGCCCCUGCACAAGGAUGACACACACAAAUCGAGAAAUGGUCCAAAUUUUA